ensembl:lncRNA
UUUCUUUCUUUCUUUCUUUCUUUCUUUCUUUCUUUCUUUCUUUCUUUCUUCCUUUCUUUCUUCCUUUCUUUCUUCCUUUCUUUCUUCCUUCCUUUCUUCCUUCCUUCCUUCCUUCGUUCCUUCCUUCCUUCCUUCCUUCCUUCCUUCCUUCCUUCCUUCCUUCCUUCCUUCCUUCCUUCCUUCCUUCCAUUCUUUCAUUCUCAUUAAAAUAGAGAGGGGGUUGUAUAGAGAAAAUCCCCAGAAAAGUAGAGAAAUUAACAGACAGAUUAAUGUAUAUGCACGGAUAUGCAAUGUAUGUGGAGCCGAUUAACUGCAGAAUGUAUAAUUGCUAAUCACUCAAGUGCGUGUUCUGCUUUCAGACUAAUGUAUUCUCAAGCUUUGUUUUAGAAAUAUUGCUCCACUGUGGGCUAUUUUAUAGAAGAAACUCAGUCACUGGGAAGCCACUUGCUCUUAAAGGAAAGAAUUGCAUACAAUUUUUUUUUUCACAAUUUAGAGGGCAUCAGUUAAUGUUGAAACGUGAACUUCUGUAUUUCCCUAUUUAUGUCCCAGCUUUAACCUGAGAGGUGUUUUGUCUUCCAUAUGUCUCACUGAUUUGAGGCCUACAGGUACUAAUAUGCCUUUUGACUUACAACAGUGGAGAGAGCUCCAUGAGGUUACCACUGUUUGACCUCUACUGAAGGUAUCAGUGAAAUCAGGAGACCAUUUCAGAUCUUGCUGUGUCCUGGCUUCUGCAGAGAGGGGGGACCUCGCUUGGCCCAGAGGGAGAAGCAGUGCUAAAUGGUGUCGUGUAAAGAAGACUACAUCAAAAGAUUUCUUAGGCUGCUUCUGUUUGUUCUCUUCUUAAGGACAAAUAGCAUUACACUGAGUCAUUAAUAAAGUCAUGGCAAAAGAAACAACUUCCCUUAGUAUGGUGUAACUGAAACCAAUUCCUGGGUGUUGAGCAUUCGUCCUGGAAGUCCUAGGUCACAUAACACAAUAUUAUGGUAUUGUUGCUGCAGGCAUUUUGAAUUUUACAACUAAAAUGUGGGAGUCAAGUGGUCCAGGUUCUUUUGAGGGGCAUGCAAGGACAGGCACAAACUGGAACACAGGAAAUUCCAUACAGACAUGGGCAAAAUCUUAUUUACUUUGAUGGUGAGGGAGCACUGGAAUAGGCUAUCCAGAGAGAUUGUGGAGUCUCCCUCUCUGGAGAUAUUCAGUUCUCACCUGGAUGCUUUCCUGUGCAACCUACUGUGGGGAAUCUGCUUUAGUAGAGGGGUUGGACUUGAUCUCCAGAAAUCCCUUCCUAUCUGUGAUUCUGUGAUUACUGUUUUGCUUGAUACAGUCACUUAAGUAAACCAGCAACAGGAGUGGCAUGAAUAAAAGGUACAAUUAAUUUCAGAAUAAUAAAAAAACUUACCAUGGACAAUGAAAUAGAAGAAUGAAGUCAUAUUUAUGGGAGUUAUGUAGUAGGCAUUCCUAUCACUAGCACACCUAUUAGACUCUAAUAGAUGUUUUUCCAUGUAUGUUGUUUGUGUAGCAUUUCUGUAAUCUGGUAAAAAGAUUCUGAAAUUUGGUAAAAAGAUUUACUAGGCCCAGUUCCUUCAUAGGACUGUUACUGAUCUUUAUUUACCACUUUUUUAUGAGAUGAACUCCUUUAAAUUGCCGGAAAGAAUAACAAAGCUAUACAUCUUAUAUAAAACAUGAAAAUUUAUACGAACAAGUGAAUAUAUUUCUUUCCAAUAUUCCCGAAGUAAACUUCUUGGCAGUAUCUGACAGAUUUUUGUAAUAGAAGCAUAAUGGGAUUUGGAGUCUGUUCUCAUGGGAAAAUUGCACUCCUAUCUCCUCAGUGUUUGAGUAUAGAGUAAAUCUUCAUUAGAGGAAGUCCUUUCCCUGCAUCCCGUAGGCUGAUGAAGGCCGGAGGUGAGUGACAGUCACUCUGAUAGGACCAUCUUUUCGUAAUGAUUGGAAGCUUACCUAAAAAAAAACCUAUGGCAGAUGUGCAGAUUUCCCUCCCCUUCCCAUUCAUUUGGGUGCAUCCAUGUGAUGGGAUGCUCCCCUAUUGCAGACCCACAACAGAAGACUGACUCACAGAAGCUAUUUAACAUGACUCAUGUCCGUAGGUGAAAAGACAUGAUGUAACAUCUGUUUGAACUGCUCCACUGUGCUUGGUUUUGUGAGUGAAGAAGUUAGAUUUAUAAAAGAGGCACCCAAGAAUCCCCUAUGUACAUUGCUUUAACCAAUGGAUGGAGUUAACACUUGGAGGAAACCUGGCUUUUCCUAACUGAUGUGGCAUUAGAGCUUGAAAAACGUGAUAAAAACAGUGUGAUAGAAGGAGAACCUCUUUUUCAUGGUAUUUCUGUAUGCUUAAUGCAUUCUUAGGCACCACUUUUUGACAACAGAGCAUGGUUUAACAGGCAGUGCAAAACAGAAGAUGUAUGCACAGAUCAAAUGUGGUAAGGGAGAUGCAUUAGAAUAUUGUUACUUAAUUAUGUCCAAAGCAUCUGAGCAAGAAAGCAAAAUUAAGAUUUUAAUUUAAUGGGGUAGUGAUAGAUGCAUUACCUAGCUAGAAACUUGAAUUAAAAAAAUGCAAAUAAGUGGGAGAUUUGAAUAGUGGUUUAUGAAACUAUAUUCUUCCUUUUUUCCAUGUGGCUACUUUUUGUUUGCCUAUCUGCCUUUUUGCAGGGUUGGCCUAAUUAUUUUUAUUCCCAUGAGUGAGGUGCAGUGAAUGCACACAGGAUAUAGAACAGCCCAUGUGCAUGUUUGCUUGUGCAUAGAGAUAUACAUGAAUUCACUCAUGUAUACAUAUUUAUGACCUCUUUAUGUUGUGUUUAUGUGCAUACACAUACGCAUGCAGUCAGAAUAUCCAAUACUUUAAGCCACUGGAGAUUUGUUUUAAGCACAUGUAUUUCCAGAAUGCUUCCUUCGGCUAUCAGCAGCAGUACAAAUAAGCCUUCCUAUCCCUGCUCUGUUGUGAUAAAGCUGCCCUGCCAUCACUGACCUGAAAUCUCAGCAAGCUGAUGAGUAGAUCUUGUUUCUGAUGUGCAUUUUGAUGAGCCAUCAAUAUAAAUCCAAUCUGGGUUGCAAGCUAGCUGAUGCGUGGCUGGCCUCCUGUUUCUCAUUUAACACAACCGUGUUUUUCUCAUUCCAUAUACCAAAUUAUUUUACAGGUCUCUGUUUCACCUAAAUUCAAAACCAAAAUAUACUUCAGCUGAUAAGAGGAAUCCGUACACAAGAGCAAGUGAAAAGAAAGAGCUGCACACGUUUUCAGCCAUAAUUUAAUACACAGAUGGUAACGAUAGGUGUUGGUUGCAAGAAAUGAGUUGUUCAGGAAGAUCUGCUUGACUGAAUUUUGAUUUUGUUUCCAGCAGACCUCCUCACAUGGUAUUGUUUAUGCAAAUACACCCUCUUUUCAGAAAGCGUCUGGCUUCAGAAAACCCCUGGCAGUAGAGCACAAAAGCUAAGUUGUACAGCAGCUAGCGGACCUGAAAAGAGAGGCUGAAUGGAGCAAUGGAUGCAAUAUGCAGGCAGCCAGAUAAACAGAAGAACCAUUCUUUUUCUGGUUACCAGUGGUGUGUGGAGAAGGCAGCCUACCCCAGAGGGAGAAAGAAAAGGCCUUGAGAGGGGGGUGACUACUCUGCUCCUAUUGAAAAACAGAAAAGGCUAAAGGGGACCAGAGCCAAGCACUACAGGCGCUACUAUGGUUAAGCCAUAAAACUGCCUUAACUCACAUGUAGGACCUUUUAUUGUUUUGCUAACUUUGCCAAGAGAAAAUUAACCAAAAAGCAAAUCUAAUUUGCUUGUAGGUAGGAAAGAUGAAAAUGAGGAAAGUGGAGCAACUCUUAGAGUAACUUUCUAAUCUCCAGGAAUGAAUGGAGAUGUUUUCUUUUUACUAUUAGCUUUGGCAAAUAAGGACCUUGGCAAACAUUUUCUCAGCAGCAAAUGUUUAGAUGGGAUGCACAUAAAUAACUUACAUGCGGUUACAUACAGGCAGAGAGAACAAGUGAGCACUAGUAAAAGAAUUUUCACAACAGAAUACGUUCAUAAUAGGGAAUAUUAUUUUUUUUUCCAUAUGUGUAUUAUUCACCCAGCAAGUGUAAAAGCUAAAAGGCUAAGUAGAACCCAACUACUUCCUAGUGAAAACAACAACAACAAAACAUUUAUUUAUUUAUUAUUUAUUAGCACACUUUGGUAAUUCCAGCUUUACCCCAUUAUUUAAUAAAGCCACUAAUGUCAGUGCCAAAUAUCAUUGUAUAUUUUCUUAAAUAUUUGAAAUUAUACUUCACAAAACAGAGCAAAAUUUAAAAAGUGUUAGUGUUAGUUUUCUAAUACUAACACAUUUUUAUACAUCUUUCCCCAGGUGCUAUACAUAAGUACAGCAGCUGUAUUUAGUACACAGAACACAUACAACCUCAGAAACUUCCAAUAUCAUGUUGUGUGCAUAAUUGUAAAUUCAACUUGCAGGUGCAUUAAUCUGUUUUGCUUGCUUCAUUCAAAGGGUUUCAUAUGUUAUGAAGAAAGUAUCAGGUCUGUUAAGUGAAAUUUUUGUCAGGUCAGUCCUAUGUUGAAUAUAUGAAUAAUAUAUUUUUAAUUUCAUUAGUUCUGGAUGCUCAUCCUUUAAAUGAAAGAACAAGCCUAGAAUGGUUGCCUUAAAGGACAGUUUAAGAAAGCAUCUUGAGUUGCAGUUGUGCAAAAUCUGGUCAUUAAUUCAACCUUAUAUCUUAGUCUUUUUUUUUUUUUUUUUUUUUUUUUUUUUUUUUUUUCCAGAAAAUCUGAAAGCUGAGUACAUGAGAGGGUGGCAUCAUCUGCAUUUCAGUGGCCUGCCUUCAGUAUGAAAGCUAUCUUCUUAUCUCUCUUUUUUGUACCCUUACAGGAACAGAAGCUGACACAAGCCAUUUUUUGGAGGGUUGUGUGUUGGAUUGAGGGGUGAUUUGCCAUCUGCCAUCAGCCUUUAUUUUGCAUAUCAAUAAAAAUAAUAAUAAUAAACUAAUUUCAGGCAUAUAUGAUACAGUUAAUGUGGAAGGCCUAUUGUUAGAGGAAAAAACCAGUAUAUUCUUAUCAGUAGCUUUAAACUGCUAUUCAUCAUUUCUAAAGGGCAAUUAUUUGGAAUCUAUUAAACUGGAAUUCAUAAUACCCCUGCAUACUGAAUUUUAAAUAGAAAUCUGUAUUUAGAUGAAGGAAUACAUUAGUAUAAAUAAUUAGAGCAGUGAAAAUCCAUGACUUCAUUUUUCACUCACAUUUUCUUUUGCACAGGAUAUGAAGUACCAAGGAUCUGAGCAUUUAAAGGAAAUUUCCCAACAAGAGAAUUAGUCCACUGAAUUUGAUUUACAGUGAACAACUAACCAACAGCAUGAGAAUAUGAUCUCAGUAUCUGCUGCUCUAUAAGAUCCUGCUAUUUAUUAAUUUAUAGCCACAAUAACACAUCUGUUUGGAGGUAAAGAUCAUGCUUCAGCCUGAUGCUUUGUUGCUUGUUACUCUGUUUCUGCAGAAGCAGAAAUUACGGAUUAAUAGGGAGAUAUUAAAUGACUUCCCUGCACUACCCUCUGCAGCACUGUGGAGAGGAUGCCCUGGGUGGGCAUAAUGGUCACCAGAACUCCCACACAGAGGUCAGGAAGACUGCUAGCCCCUUGGAGUGUUGUAGUGUAGAGGGUGGAAUGGUUUGUAGCUGGGGAAAUACAUUAAUUAAUUAAUUAAUUAAUUAAAAAAAAUCAGGCAGUUAAUUUUUGACAAGUAGUUCUAUUGCCUUGUUAAUAUAGCUUGUUAUUAUGGUUUUAGAGAUGGAGAUACUUAUUUGUCACUCUGUGGUUUUGGGUUGGAUAGAAAAUUCUUCACCAUAUUGAACAACACUGCAUUUUUUGUUGUGAAGAACUUUCCUGAACUGCUUCUCAUUGCUCUGGUCUCUGAUCUUCCUUGCUGUAGGAAGCAGAAGGCCAUUGAUUAAUUCCUAGGUACAGAAACAUGUUAGCAGUCUUGCAAAAGCACUCAUAAACUAGACCUCAAAUAAACUACAUUUCACAAGGUCAGGCUUUGUACAGUUAAGCUAUAUUUGGCCACCUGAUAUCCUGUUUAUGAUACAGUUAUUGAUCCAUUACAGAUGACUACAUGACAAAUUAAUCUAAAUUGAGACUUGUGUACACACGAAACUUAGAUUGAUUUUCUGUCUUCAGCACCUCAAAAAGUAUUUUCUGAGCUGCAUGAUCUAGUAACUAUAGUUUGACAGCACUGAACAUUACAGUUUUAUAAUAAUAAUGAGCAGAUGUGCAUUAAUAGUCAUGGUAAAUUCAAAAUUAUGCCACUAUGGUUUAACUGCAAUUAAAAAAAAUUAAGUUUAAAUUCAUAGUAUAGCAUAUGCUACAUACUUAAGAGGAAUCACACAGCCGCCGUGGGCCUGUGAUUCCUUUUUUCUUAUGCUAUUCCAUGUCAGGACAGACUCAGUACAAGAGAUGUCAGAUAAUUGGGAAAGUCAGACAUAUUGUUUGGAUGUCCAUGUCUAACAUAAUCCUGAUGCAAAAUCUGUAGAUGGAAAAACAUGUAGAAGUUUCCAGCAUGGCUUCUUUAGGUUUCUUGAAAGAAGGCUUAGUGGGAAUUCUUUAGUUUAAAAGAUUUACAUAGAAACCAAGUAACAAAAGAUGGGAUAGGGUAAUGAAUUUUUUUGUGAGUGAAAAUCUAAGAGGGUGGAAGUUCUUGCCUUGCACUAUCAAAAUAAUUGAGUAUGUGUUCAACCUGAGAGCAGAAGAACAAUAUUCUUUUUAAAUGAAACUAUUGAUGUGGUUCAAAGUUAGGCAUGUGCAUAAGAAGCAUGUGCUGAAUUGGACCCAGUUUUCAUCCCUUUACAAAAUCAAUCCUGGCAAGAGUGGCUUGAGAUCAGGUCAAUAGCAUUAGUAGCUCUCAACCUCUAUUAGGAAACUUAGAUACAGAACGGGCAGAUUUCAGAAGAAUUCAUGUUCAUAUUUUAAGCACAUGUUUGAAACACAUCUAUAGAGCCAUGUUCCCCAUUAAUUGUCAUCUUGUUAAGUUUAAUAUAUUAAUGACUUCUCUGUCUUCUGCAGUAUUCAGCACAUCAGAAAGAAUAUCACUACAGAACUGUCUACGCUGUCAGCAGUACAAGUUACAGAAUGAAUUACUACUGAAUCUCAAUUUAGGGAUCAGGAGAGGAUGUGCUGAGUAAGUGAAAACACAGAAGCAAAGCGACAUGCCAUGGCUUUGUGGAUAUGUGGAUACAAGCAAUUACAGCUUAAUAGAUGUGGGUAAGCUGGUGAACAGAUAGAGGUUCUGCACUUCUUCAUGGUUUGCCCAAAGAUCAACAUUCUAAAUAUACCUUAUCUAAGACAACAAAUAAUGAAAUUGUCAAGUGAACUUGAACAUCAGAAUAAAUUUGAGAAAUCUCCUUAUAUCAAAAAGAAGCUUCAGAAAAAAAAUAGCAAGACAAGUUGUAGUUAAGUGCUGAAGAAUGAAAGGAUUGCUUUCCAGCAUUUUUAUUCCAGCUUCAGCAUAUUUUAUUUUAUAUAUAUAUAAAUAUAUAUACACACAUAAUUACAUACAUAUAUACACACACACACAUAUAUCUAUGCAGUGUUUUUCCCUCAAGGAAUAAGCCAUCUUAUUUAUGUCAUAGCUGAGAGGUGUGAAUUUCCUUCGCGCUUUAUCCAGCUUCAUAGAUGAAUCCCUGUUGGCAGAUCACACUGCACAGAAGACUGGUGAGUGACAGAGGCCACUGAUUACUAAUGGCCACAUCAGGAGGAAUUGCACUGUGAGGGAAGAUACCCACUUCCUCCUCAUCCCUAAUUUUGGGGUCUUGUUUCUAGAGAGUCCAUUGGAAGGAUUCACAUGGGGGACAGAGAAAUAAAAUACUAUCCACGUUCAUAAAAAGGUGUUUUCCUAAGCAACCACACUUCCCUCCCCCUCUAAACUCAAGGAGUGAGAAUAAAGCCUCCUGACAGGCUAUUCUCUUACUGUGCCAUGUUUCAAAGCCUUAUAAGGAGAAGAAACUGUGGCAUAAUUAAUACAUUGGAUAGCUGAAGACAUUACUGAAUCGUUAAACUGCAGCAUUUAACUGCAGUUAAAGUAUUCUUGGCCCCUAGGUCUUUACCAUUGUAUAAUCAUGAUCAGCUGUUUUAGAUAAACUAUGGAGAAAGUAAGAUAAAUCUUCCCAAAAUUUACAGUGAAGAAUAAAAUUCAGCAUAUAGCUUUCCCCUGCUCAUGGAAUUGAAUCAAUCAAUACUGCAUUAUGCUAUUGCUGGAGUGCAUAGUAGCAAUCACUGUUUGACAGUAAGGGUAUUUUGCACAGCAGUGAAGGUUAUCUAUAUAAUUUGUUUUAAACCUUUGGGUUCCCUAUGUUAGUCCUUUGGGAGAACUGCAGGAAACCUUGCUCUGUACAUUUUCUGUUUGCUGAAAAUUGUAACAUAGUCAUCAGAAAAAGAAAAAGAGAGAAAGAGAGAAAGAGAGAAAGAGAGAAAGAGAGAAAGAAAGAAAGAAAGAAAGAAAGAAAGAAAGAAAGAAAGAAAGAAAGAAAGAAAGAAAGAAAGAAAGAAAGAAAGAAAGAAAGAAAGAAGGAAAGAAAGAAAGAAAGAAAGAAAGAAAGAAAGAAAGAAAGAAAGAAAGAAAGAAAGAAAGAAAGAAAAGAAAAAAAAAUCAAAAGGAUAACAAAGCUUUGCUAAUAGGAAUGAUCCAUACACCCAGACAGAUGCGUUUUCCUGUGGACAGUGGAAAGAAUGCAGAUGUAAUUGGAACCCAUUGGAACCCAUUUUUGCCCAGGAGAUCUCAGAUGGAAGUCUGGAAGUCCUGACUGAAAAAAAUGAAGUGGAAUUCAGAGCAAUUUUUUGCCACUUCUUUCCAAUUCAGUUUUCAGCACGACUACAAAGGGACUUCUUGCUUCAGGCCAGGCUGGAUGAUUUGUGAAGCCACGGAAGUAAAAAUAAAGUAAAGCUGUCCUUCAAGAAACUGAAUAAACUGUUUUGGUUGAGUGUGUGGUUUUCUAAAUACAUGCAGAAAGAUGUAUACCCCAAACAUGUAUUUAGCAGAAUGGAUUUUGUUAAUGUCAAUAGCUAAAUACCAUAUUGGUUUGUUUUAUCAGCAUGCACAAUACUUACUUUUUAAAUGAUUCCAUCACUGUAUGUGGUUUAUGUAAAGCAAGUAAACUGAGAUUUCAUGUAAUUACAGUAAUUAAAAAGAGAGGUGGACAGGGCAGACUAUUUGUUAUACCAUGUAUGAUAAGAAGAUAGAGGCACCAUUCAAAGAGUUAUGACUUGUUAGUGAGUAGUAGACUCUUGAAAUUGUCAAGAAGUGUUGUUUGAAAAAAACAAAUGAAGAGAAGCAGAUAAAAUCAUCUAUUAUUAACUAAUGUAAGCAUAUGAAUUUCAGCGUGCAGCAUGCUUGCUACCGAUAGUCAUGGUGCAUUGUUACAGUGAAUUAAUAACAUUGUCACAAUGGAUAAUAUCACAUUUUCUGGCUAUACAAGUGAAAGGAAAACUAUCAGAAUUUCACAAUAACAGAGAAGCUUUGAAAUUAAAAUAAUAAUAAUAAAAGCCUACAAACUCACCACCAUUAAGUUACAUUCUUGAGUGGUGGGCAGUAUAACCUUGGCCUACUAUAGUAAAUGAAAGAGCACCAACCUGUUUGUAGGAGAUACGUGUUUUGCAUGCAUAUCUUAGUUGAUUUUAAUCUUUCUGAUUGAAUUUAGGGUGAAUAUUAAAAGCAAACUCAUAAUUUUUUGCACUUGAUAUUUCCAGUGGAAGGAGCACUGCCUAGUACAAUAUCUUCUAAUAAAAUAAAAUAAAAAUUCAUAAUUAUAAAUAAAAUAAAAAUUCAUAGUUGACUUCAGCUUCUCAACAGUGUCUAUGAAAUUUACUCCUAUUUGGUUUGUCUUUCUUCAUCACUGCCAAAAUAGAUCCUUUGUAUCUGUAUCUACAAUAAUGUACACCAUCUCCCUCAUAGGUACUGAACAUCCUAGACACCUCCAAAUCAAUCAUAAAUUAGUGAGGCAAAGUUAGUUAAUUUAAGUGAGUUUAAGCAAUGAUAACUUAAUGGAGGGACUUGUAAACCACAGCAGAAAUGUAAUGUUUAUGGAUUUUUUACAUAAAUGGAAGAAAAACAGGAUUUUUCAAUUUCUUCUGGGAAAAAAAAACAGCAACAACAACCAUGAAGUGAAAAUGAGAACAUGGGAAGGGAGCAGUGCAGUGCUGAUUUGUCCUCUCACAGCCACAGCACUUAUUUAGAUGCAUCAAGACUCACACGUAUUGCACAUUACAUGCGCUUCUGUCGCUUGCUGAGUAAAAUGCAGUGAUUGUCGAUAUUAGUAUUUCAACCUGUCUAAUGGCAAACCCCAAAAAAACCAAAACUCUGGAUGAAGGAAGAGUGUUAAACAAAAAAUGGUCAGAUUAGUAAUUUUUUUUUCAAGACAAAUAAUAUGGCACUCUGCUUAAUUUGCAAGGAAAUGAUGUCAGAUUUCAAACAAUACCAUUUGAAAAGAUAUUAAGUGCAGAAACAUGCUGACAAAUUCAAUGAAUAUCAAAGAAUGCCUCAUAAAGACAAAACAGUGGAACUGAAAACAAAGUCUAUCACCUCAACGCAAGCUUUUUUAAAAAGUUAAAUGGACUGUUGUAAAAGCUAGUGACAUGGUAACAAAUCUGAUGGCAAAAAAUCAAAACCAUUUACUGAUGGUGAGUUUAUUAAGCAGUGAAAGAAAAGCAUGACAGAUAUAAUGUGUCCUCAUAAAAAAUGGACUUUUCUAAUAUCAGUUUGUCUCACCAGACUGUAGCUAGGUGAACUUAAGAAACAGGAAAAUCUAUUGAGAGAAAUUCGGUGAUAGACAAAAGUACGGAUGCUACAGAUAUUGCUCAACUUGCCAUUUUCAUUAGAGGUAUUGGUAAUGAACAUAACGUCACUGAAGAAAUGGCUUCUGUGGUUCUGCUGAAAGACACAACUAAAUCUCCUUAUUUGUUUGAAGCAGUAGAAAAAUAUGUUAAAGCCAUUUUCUUUAACCUUUGUCAACAUAUCUGGUGUAGCUACUGAUGGUGCUCCAUGGAUGGUCAGUAAAAAAGAGGGACUUUAUAAAAUUAAUAGAAGAUGAUGCAAUUGCUGCUUGCGACUCACAUUUGAUGAAAUAUCAAUAUUAUACAUCAAGAAAAUUUAUUUGUGAAAGCUGUAAAAAUGGAUGAUGUCUUGAAAAUCAUCAUUAAAGCCGUGAAUUUCAUAAAGUCCAAGGGAUUGAACGAUCAUCAGUUCCAGGAGUUCCUUAAAUGUAUGGGUAUUGGUUAUGAGGACAUCUACUUUUCUGAAGGAAAGUGGCUAAGCCAGGGUAAAAUGCUAAAAAGACUUUACUAUUUCUGAAAUGAAAUAAAGUCCUUUAUGGAAUUAAAAGGAAAAUUUGUGCCAUAAGGUGAAGAUAAAAAAAUGGCACACAGAUUUAGCAUUUUUUUGUGGAUAUGACUGUUCAUUUAAAUGAGCUAAACAUGUAUCUUCAAGGUGAAAAUAAACUUACCUGUGCUAUGUUUCAAACCAUAACAGCAUUUGAAAUGAAAUGUAAAUUAUGGCAAGCUCAAGUUAUGGCAAAUAAUUUAAUGCAUUUUGAUGUGUUGGCUAAACGCAGCCCUGUGCUGUGCAAAAAACAGCAAAAAAUACUCAGCCUUGCUUUCAGUUUUGAUAAAGGAAUUUAAGAACAGGUUUGAAGAUUUCCAAAAAAGUCAUUAAUUUUUUUGUAUAUUUGCAACCUUGUUUUCAGUUGACAUAAGUACAUUAGCUGUGAAUUUUCAAGUAUGAUGUAUGGAGUUGCAAGGAGACAUUCAGCUCAAAGAAAAAUUUGGUCAUGUCUCUUUACUGGUCUGUUAUAACAGAGAAAAAUGUUCAUUGCUUGACAAUCAUGCCUUGUUCAUGUCAUCACUUUUUGGCGGUAUGUACAUUUGUGAACAGUUGUUGUCAAGGAUGAAGCAUGGGAAGAGUAACAUUUCAUCAAAAAUAUCUGACAAACACCUUGAGAGCUCACUAACAAUUGCAACCGCUUUCAUUGAACUAAACAUUGAUGCAUUAGUUUCACAAAAACAGGAUCAAAUAUCCUACUAGUUUUAUAUUUGUGUUGCUCUCUGUUUAUAUUUUAAUAAAAAAAAAUUGCAUAAAAAAUAAAU